UGAAAUGCAUUAUUAGUAGCAUACUGUGUGAACAAAAUAUCUUACUGUUUCAUCUCCAUAUGCAGACUUUUCCUGAUCCAGGCCAGGAAUCUUCAAAAAAUAAUUUGGAGAAGGGAACAGCAAUGCAGGGUGCCAUUUGAGCCGGGAAGAAUGAUAUAUUACAUGAACAAAAUAGAUGAAUGCACAUCGAAUUAGAAUCCAAUUAGAAAGUCAGCGUGAAAAUAUAAUAUCAAAUAAGUAUGGAAGCGCAGCAGCUCAGCCGCAGCAAAUUAAGUCAAACGUUGAGCAACAACAGCAACGUACUGACUUGUUAGUGAUCAGCCGAAAAAAUACAUGCACACAACAAUUUUUUCUGAGUCAUGAGCACUUACCAUACUCUUGCGGGCCUCAGCAAAGAGCUUCUUCUCAUCCUCCAAUCUCUUCUUCGCAUCUUCCUCUGCUUUCUUUUGCUCUUCUUCUCUCCGCUGUCGUUCCAGAUCCUCAAAACUGGCGCAUAUCUUCCCGGGCUCACUGCCCUCCAGGUUCACCAAGGCCAUCAGCGCCUCGUCGUCCUCAUCCACAAGCUGAGUAAAAACAAACAGAGUUGAGCUUUGAGGAGAGUAGACAAGAAGUGGCUAAUGGUGUUGUCUUCUUCUGCCAGGCGUGUGUAACUUCUCAAAGUGUGGCUCCUGCACCAACUACCUCUAGUUCAAGUUAAAGCAUAUUGGCGGCGUUUGGCGUCUUCCUCAGCAUGCCUCUUCCUCUGCUCCUGUCUCUCCUUCUCCAGCUCCUCAAAGGUCAUUCUAAGCUUACCAGGAGUCACCUGCGUCUUCUCAGAGGGCUUCUCCUCUUCAUCCUAAC